rnacentral:tRNA from 1 species
GGGGAGGUGGCGAAAUUGGUAGACGCAUCGGACUUAAAAUCCGAAGGGCCUUGGCCCGUAGGGGUUCGAUUCCCCUCCUCCCUACCA